rnacentral:lncRNA from 1 species
AUCUAUAAAAGUUGCUGCUGACCAAUAAAUUGUCAUGAAAACUUAUUAGUCAUGGAAAAAAAUUGUACUCAAUUGUUACUUCUCAUUUAUUGGAGAAUGUAUUGUUAUGGAAUUCAUUAGUUACACCAAAAAAAAAAAAAUCAUUAAUAACUAUAGACAGAUGCCUAAAUGCUUACUUUCUUAAUGUGAAUAUAUUUAAUUAUAUAUAUAGAUUCCGUAGGUUCGCACGUUGUUUCUCUUCUUGCAGACUGAAACGGACGGCGAUGAGUCGAUGACUCAAUUCGGUAAGCGUCCAGAAGGCAGAGUCCCCUCUGACAUGUCCUUUUCGUUCCUCCCCCACCGUCCCCUCCGUCGCCGCCUCGUGCGAGUGGACCGUGAGAGUUGGGGCUGUAGCCAUGUGAUCUCAGUGGAGACGUCUGUAGCCAUGUGAUCUCAGUGGAGACGACUGGACCCACCCACUCAAUGGUCAUCACUGAAGAUGCCAUGUCCGUUCGUCCUCUUCAUCCUCCGCCUCUCGCGCACGGCUUGACGGGUGCAGUGGCGGCUGGAAGUUGGCGUGGGAUUGGCUUUCGUGACUUUAGUCGUCCGCAGCGUCCGAGACGAGGAACCGGUGGAGAAAGAUUAGGGUUUCGGUGCUUGCCGUUUUAGCUUUAGGGGGAAGUUAGAGGUUUUUCUUGUGGUUCACGAAGAAGAAAGAUAAUUUUGGGCUAAUGCGGUUCAGGCAUUAGAUGGCAGAAGUAAUUUCUUUUGCCUUUAAAUAGGGAUGCUUAAUAGAAAUAACUAGCCCAGGACAUAGUUCAGGGAAAUUAUGAUUGACUGAGGAUGUUAACUUUGAUACAAAGUAAUAAAUGUGGUUGCUCCAGAUUUUAAUGCAUUAAUUUGUGAUGCUGCACGUAGUGGUGCAUCAUGAAAGUUUCAAAUGUUUUGAACUAUAAGAAGAUCAAAAAAAGUUGAGGAUGAAUUAUGG